AACUUGACGUUUCACCUUGCUCCACAUUGUCCCAAACGUGUGACCAGAAGCCAACGUGAACUCAAGUCAAAUGUGGCUUCUUUUCAGAAGACACAUUCCAGCUCUGAGUACUCUUUGAAACUUAGUCCCAAUACUAAAAUGUCCAUGAAAGGGCUUCCUUUUUUGAGGCAGACGAUGAUCUGGGCCGCCGCACAAUAGUGGCGCCUGCUGUCCAGGACUACUUCAUGGUUUCUGGGGGGGGGGGUUUGCCCUGAGGUUUCGGCACCCUCUGGGAGUAAGGCCGUUAUCGUCCCGAGUCGGAUACCUGCUAUCGGUACUCGCACGUUCCUACCUGGAAUCGAUCGGUAAGGCGAGCAAGUCGGCUAGCCGGCCGGCAGGCAGGCAGGCCGGUGCUUUGAGGCGGAGGGACAGAAAACAAGACAAAGCAGAAGAACGAGCACGGCAGCUGCUGUCUCAACAACAGUAAGCGUCUCACGGUGACAGCCGGGACCAUGAGACCGGUCCGUCCCCGGCGCAAGGGUUGCCCUCAUUUUUCUUAUUCUGCGGUGCUCUCCGAACCUGCCGGGACACGCAGACGUGUUUUCAAAGCGGAUCCGGACAAGUCGGGGACAGGCCCGUCCCGUGCCGUGCCGUGCUGUGCCGUGUGUUGUUGCGUUGAUGGACGUGAUAGUGAAACUUUCUCGAGGCUUGGCUUGAUGCAUGCUGGCCAUCAACUGUUGAAAAUAACACUCUGGGAGAAAAUUGCACGCUUGGGCUAUAAACGCUGGCCACGACUGUGAGUCACACCAGGCUCACACUGUCUUUGUGUGUGUUACGGUGGCUUGAUGCGUGUGUGUGUGUGUGUGUCUGUGUGUGUGUGUGUGUGUGCGGACGCAGGCAGGGGCGCUGUGUGCUGCAGCCUGUUUUUCUUCUCAGGUAUGCGUUCCCUCAGGGGACGUGCAGCGGCAAAGCGCGUCGCCAAUUGGCAAGAAAUAUGAGCCUCGCCUUUCGGCAUCUGGCCGGCAAAACCACCAGUGAUGGGAGGGAGGGCUGGCUCUCCCUGGCAAAGGUGUGAUGGGGAGGCGGCACGGCCACCUCCCCAUUCCACAUCCGAUUCGGCGGUGUGACAUCUCGCGCUUGACACAUUUUCCGAGUAAAGAUUUCAAAGUGGCGUAAACGGAGGCCCAACAGCCCGGGGCCGCCACGUGACUGUCUUUCUAAAUGUUUGUAGGCCGGGGGCUGGUUCUGGUGAACAGGCAAGACAACAGAAUGGUUUGAGAGCGACAUACGCUCGGAUGUCAAGAGUCUGUUUGGCUUUUUCCAGACGUUGCCAAUAUUGAGCGGUGCGCGCAGGAAUGCUUCGUUUCGUUUGCGUGGCACUCCCUCGGCCACAUG